GCCAUAUGCUGCAGGUAUGCUCUCGCAUUGUCGUCGAUAAUCCUUGACCAAAUGGCUGUUUUGCACUUGAAUUCUGAGUACCCAUACUAAUGGUUACCUUGUCAUUAGUGCCGGCUGAGAAAUGAAGGUUUAGUGCACCCAAGGUACAGGCGGCUGGAGCCAACUGGCAAUACAAGGCUAACGUCGAACUGCGCAAAAAGCAUCUUGCACAUCUUUAUUAGACUGAACAGCAAGUAAACUAUGCAGGAAACAAUCAGCAUCUCCAAUGAGUGCGGAUAGCUAGGACCUAACCGCCGCAGCUCUGAAGAAAGCUCUGUAUGAAUUUGUACUGACUGGUGUAUUUGAUUUCACAGCUGGUUAUUGGCAAGCACAGGUUCUCAGCUCAUGCAUGCGAGGCUUUUUUAACUAAAUUUAGAUAAUUGCGCCAUGUCGAGACUGUGAGCGAUCGAAGUACCUAUCAAACCCUACUCAAGAGCAAUGAGCACUUCAAAGGCCACUCUACCACCCUUGGGGAAGCUUCCCCCGGUUUCACCAACUGCUGACACUUCUGAAACGUUCUCUAGUGUUGUGCAGUCUGACAAAGUUAUUUCGUCGGAAAGCUCAUCCCCUAAGAAAAAUGGGGACGCAGACCAUAAGACGAACUCGACCCCAGGCUUCGUGGUUGAUGAAAGCGCGCCAUCUGCAGAAGAAGAUACGCCUUUGAAGGUGCAGCUUAUUGCAGAGGGAAGUUUCACUACUGACUCGUCAAAACUGGAUGGCGCCACGUACGAGUUCGGCUUCUAUCAAGUGUCGAAGGAAAAGCGGUGGUUCCUUUACGGCUCUCUGCUGGUCGUAUCGGCUCUGAUAGUGCUGCUCAUGAUUUGGGGGAUCAUCAUGGCAGUCUCUUAAACGAGACAAAACGGCCAAGCAUAGAGCCAGCCGUGCUGCAGAACGGGUCCGGGACUGAUCGCACAGCCGGGACCAGAUCACCGCCGCCGCAGCGAGACGGGAGGGGCUUACUCAGCACACCGCCGUCUAUGCGUCUGAUACAGGGUAUCAUGCGCUUUGCAAAACACAUGAUACUGUGCAAAGUAAACAAGCUAUCCGUAGGUGUUUUGCAGCAAAGCAAGGAAAUGCAAACGGAUUUAUGGGGGCAGCUUGAUGAUAUUGGGACUUGUUAAACGGGUUAUUUGUAGUUAUGUAUGCUAUCGCGUUGCAAGAGCGCGGUUGUUUGCUGACUUAAUGUAUAACUUUGUGUCGCCCUUAGGGCCGUGUUCAUGACCAGAGAUAGUUAAUUUGUCGCGAGCUUUUCCAUGUUGACAUCCUCCAAUCCUGCAGUCUGCAACGUUUACUGGAAUGCACGCGCGAGUUUACUGCUUCUCUAAAAGCCAAUUGUAUAGGUACAACAGCUGUUCGUGUGUGAUCUGAAAAACAACCUCGAAUGAUGCUUAUGGAUUUCCUUGGUGAUGACAGCUUAGCGUGGCCAGCAAUGGUUAAUUUGCAUCCGAAGAAAUGGAA